CGGAUCGCAGGCUGNAACCCGCCUGCGUGAAGUUGGAAUCGCUAGUAAUCGCGGAUCAGCAUGCCGCGGUGAAUACGUUCCCGGGCCUUGUACACACCGCCCGUCACACCAUGAGAGUCGGGAACACCCGAAGUCCGUAGCCUAACCGCAAGGGGGCGCGGCCGAAGGUGGGUUCGAUAAUUGGGGUGAAGUCGUAACAAGGUAGC
rnacentral:rRNA from 1 species